AUGAUUAUCUAGCUUGCUAGAUAUGAUUAGUGGCGGACGGGUGAGUAACAUUUAGGAAUCUGCCUAGUAGUGGGGGAUAGCUCGGGGAAACUCGAAUUAAUACCGCAUACGACCUACGGGUGAAAGGGGGCGCAAGCUCUUGCUAUUAGAUGAGCCUAAAUCAGAUUAGCUAGUUGGUGGGGUAAAGGCCCACCAAGGCGACGAUCUGUAACUGGUCUGAGAGGAUGAUCAGUCACACCGGAACUGAGACACGGUCCGGACUCCUACGGGAGGCAGCAGUGGGGAAUAUUGGACAAUGGGGGAAACCCUGAUCCAGCCAUGCCGCGUGUGUGAAGAAGGCCUUUUGGUUGUAAAGCACUUUAAGCAGGGAGGAGAGGCUAAUGGUUAAUACCCAUUAGAUUAGACGUUACCUGCAGAAUAAGCACCGGCUAACUCUGUGCCAGCAGCCGCGGUAAUACAGAGGGUGCGAGCGUUAAUCGGAAUUACUGGGCGUAAAGCGAGUGUAGGUGGCUCAUUAAGUCACAUGUGAAAUCCCCGGGCUUAACCUGGGAACUGCAUGUGAUACUGGUGGUGCUAGAAUAUGUGAGAGGGAAGUAGAAUUCCAGGUGUAGCGGUGAAA
rnacentral:rRNA from 1 species